rnacentral:rRNA from 1 species
CCUACGGGAGGCAGCAGUGGGGAAUAUUGGGCAAUGGGCGCAAGCCUGACCCAGCAACGCCGCGUGAAGGAAGAAGGCUUUCGGGUUGUAAACUUCUGUUCUGAGGGACGAACAAAUGCCGGUACCCCAGGCAUAAGCUACGGCGAACUUGGAGACAGCAGCCGCGGUAAUACGUAGGUGGCAGGCGUGAUACGGAGUUAUUGGGUGUCGAGGGCGUGUAGGCGGGACUGCAAGUCAGGUGUGAAAGCCCCGGGCUCAACCUUGGACCUGCAGUUGGAACUGGGUUUCUUGAGUGUGUGAGAGGCUAGUGGAAUUCCGGGUGUAGCGGUGAAAUGCGUAGAUAUACGGAGGAACAUCAGUGGCGAAGGCGAAUUGCUGGACAGUAACUGACGCUGAGGCGCGAAAGCGUGGGGAGCAAACAGGAUUAGAUACCCCUGUAGUC